rnacentral:lncRNA from 1 species
UUUUUUUUUUUCAGGUAGGCUCCAUGCCCAAUGUGGGGUUUAUUUUUUUUAAAAGAUUUUAUUUAUUUAUUCAUGAGAGGCACAGAGAGAGAGAGGCAGAGACAUAAGCAGAGGGAGAAGCAGGCUCUAUGCAGGGAGCCCGAUGUGGGACUCCAUCCCGGGACUCCAGGACCACACCCUGGACCAAAGGCAGGCACUAAACUGCUGAGCCACCCAGGAAUCCCCAAUUAUCCCAUCUUUAGCCAAUGAGAUCCUAAGUUGGUUCCUGACUUUUUCUGACAAGACUCUUCAUCUUUGGUAGCUUCUUUGUUGUCUAGUGUAACAAGAUGUUGUGUGUUCAUCUCAUGAUUUCCCUGCCCUAGACCAGGAACUAGACAUUUCUUCAAGGAUCCCUGGAUCCCUUUAGGGCAAAGAGUAUUUCAAAACCACAAUUCUGGGGUAUUGCCACUGCAGACUUUAUUUCUAGGUCAUUUCGAUGGAAAGAAUUAGGAAAUAGGUUUUUUGUUUCUGUUUUAAAUAGCUUGAGGUAUAAGUGACAUACUAGUGCACAUAUUUAAAAUGUGUCUACACCUGAGAACCUUUCACCACAAUGAAGAGAGUGAACAUAUCCAUCACCCCAAAAGUUUCUUCAGGCUUCUUUGUAAUCCCUUCUAUUAUCUCUCCCCUCCCCUCUGUAAAUACCCGUCCUCUCAGUUAUUCAGGCAACUGUUUUUAAACAUAAGAUACAACCUUAAUUCAUUAUCAGUUCAAAAUCUCUUCUAGUUUAACAUCUGAAUUUCCCUUCUCUGAUGCUGAGAAUACUGGUUCUCAGCAACACUGGGAAUGACAGAAUUGGAGUAUUACACAAUUACUCAUUUGUUUUAUUCAUUACAGUAAAUGCUUCUUAAAUGUUAGUUCCCUGCAAUGCUCUACCCCUUCCCCUUAUGAAGGGUGAAGAAUUCUUCACCAUAAUUUUUCCUUCUAAUAUUUACAAAGAACAGAGACAGGUCUUUUCAUCUUGAACUUCCUGAGAGGCCUUUGGUUAGGAGUCCUCAUUAAUUUCUGGAAGGGGUCUGUGCAGAGAUGAUCUUGGCCUCAAGAUAUACAAAGGAGUGUCCUGAAAGACAGCAAUGUAGUUUGGCCUGGGUCCAGAAAACCAGGAGAUCUUCAUCUGGGUGGGGGCUAGUAGAGACAGACAGGUUGACAGGCGAUUAUAUCCACUAUGGUAACUGCUACCAUGGAGGGGUAUGAGAGGCUGUGGAAUGCGUAGGAGGGGUCCAUGUGCCAACUUUGCUCCUGCUGUUCAGGGAAAGAAGAGGAUAUCUAUGUGGGGUCCUGAAGAGAAGCAGGAAUGAGUGAUGUUGGGACUUAAUAGUGAAGAGGGAGAAGGGAUUUUCAGGUACAGAAGCAGCAACAGGCAAAAGGCCCAGAAAUAGGAGAGAGUAUGGCUCCUUAGAUAAACUGUAAAUAAAGGGCUAACUGUAAUUUGAGUAGUGAGAAGGAAGGUGUGAGAAAGUUUUGGUUAUCUUCUAUGCCGCCUUGUACAUGGCAAGUGCUCCAUAUGUCCAGGUUUCAGGAAAAGUACAUAUUUAUUAACAGCAAUGACAACAAUAGCUGGUAGCAAUGACCAAGUGAAGUAUCCUGUGCCAGGAACUUUUAAUAAAUUAUCUCAUUUAAUGAUCACAACACUACUGCUAGGCAGGCAUUCUCUUUUUGCACGCAAGAAAACAAGUUCAGAAAAGAUCAAACCACACAACUACUAGGCCUAAAGUUAUACAUCUACUAUGAGUCAGGGUAGAGAUUCAUGGUAGAGAAUAGACAUCUGGAGGGCUUGCUCAACCCCUCCAAGCCCCGCAAUCCUCCCAGGAGAAAUGGAGGUAGUAAUACUCACCUCGUGGGGAGCCAUGAGGGGGGUUAACCAAGAUAAUGACUAAGCAGGACUUAACAGAGUACUCAGCACAUUGUUAAGUACUCAGUAAACAUCUCCUAUGAUUAUGUUAGUGUGUUAUAUAAUAAUUUUAUAUAUUCCAUAGUAUUACGACUAACAAGUGAAUGAACGAAUUAGUAAAUUAAUGCAUGAGUGAAUGAAGUCAUUUAACUUCAAUUUAAAUCCUGACUUUGGCCAAGGGUAGAGGUGAACUUUAAUAUUCUUUGUCCUGUGGACUGGGAAUGACUAAAUGUGUUGUGGUAUUGUUAUUUUGUUUGUUUUAUUGUUUUUGUUUUAGAUAAAACCUAACAACAUGAGCAGGCUUCAGCCAAAAGUUCUCCCAAUUCUUGGACAAGGAUUCAUCCAGGUGAGCUAGAAGGUGAGGGAUUAAGGAAGCUGGCUUCCUAUU